UUUUCUUCACAUUAAAGAGCGAGAACAUGCACGUAAGGUUGAUACUGAGGAAACCAACAAUGGACACACGCAAAAUGGUAGCAAGUUUCGUGGGUAUCAGCAGCAGCCAGAGCAGCAACCUUCUCCGUAGGGUUAUUAAUCUUUUUAUGUUAUACGGUUUGUGUUCUCUCUCUUCUAUUUACAUACUUCUGUAGUUCUGGGCAUGAUUUUUUUUAUUACAGCAUAGACUACCCACAAUUAAACAUAGCUCAUCAUUUUUCACUGUGCAGGUUGUGCAGAUGCACAGAUUUCAUGAAAUUAGUAGUUGUUGUUGCUUUCUUUAAUAUGCUAUCUUUAGUGGUAGAAUGUACUAGAAACACUUAGCUCCUUCUUUUGUUUCCACUGUAUGAAGUUCAGCUGAAAAUGAUGAGAAAAUGUUUUCCUUUUUCUCAUUUGUGCUGUUCUUAAAAAACUUAACUAUCCCCUAGCCAAUAAAUCUUUUCAGUUUUAUCCUCUUUUCUCACUCCUGCUGAUUUCUUCAAAUACAGGGCCACUUGCAUUGCAAUUCCAUGUCCAUCACUAAUUGCUUAAGUAUGAUUGUUAGUAUAGUUGAUUUGCAGUUCAUGCAUGCAUUAAUUUAGUCAGGAACAUUGAUCACAUCAUUGUACAUGAAGACUAGUGAUGGACCAAUUUCCAAGGGUUGUAUUCUGUCUAUUUUUAUAUGAGUCAUGUUUGGUCUAAUUUGAAAUAUGUUUAUCUUACAUGAUUUUAUGAGUUUUGUAGGUUCAGGUUUCCCUACUUCUAGGAACCAGGACAUUGAGCUAAUUGCAACUGAUAGUGUUCUUAGCUCUUGAGUAAAGAGUGCGCAAACAUUCCGACUCAAUCAAACACACUCAGGUAUGAGUUGUUAAUAUCAAAUAAUGAAACAUGGAAGCAAGAGGUUAUGUCUCAUUACCAAACACCAUUUUAAACCAUGGUUAGCAAUAUUCAUAAGCAUUUCACCAAACAAUGCAAGUAGAACCAAUAUACAUAUGAAAAAGUACGACUCAAAAAUGGAAAAACAUAAUUUAAAAGCAAAUUAUAGAACCAUACAACUUAGAAAGCAUGAAAAAUGCACACUUCAGAAUCCAUAAAAAGAGAAGAACCGAGUAAUGUUGAACGAAAAAAGGAUACCUCAAUGGAUCUAAUUCAGAGAGCGCUCAAAGGAGGUGAAAAUCCACAAUAGUGGCGAACGAAAAACCUCGAUGGUGAAAUAGACGAAGAAAUUGUGAGUUGUGUCACAAAAAUUGGGAUUUUCGGUUCGUCAAUCAUAGAAGAAAUUGGGAUUUAGGAUUUCUGGUUCGUCAAUCAUAGAAGAAAUUGGAGGUUUUGAGAUUAAUGUAAGGUAGUUUCCAACAUGUGAAGCCCCGCUUGGUUUGCAAAAGUGAAGAAUCACAAUGAAGCAAAGAGGUGCCUAGAAGUUUAUAAUUAGCAAGUGAAGGAAGAAGAGGUGCCCAAAAGGAAAGAGAUGAGCGUGAAAGAGAUGAAGUUUUAAGAAAGGAGGAGAUGGAGUUUUAAGAAAAGAGGAGAUGAAGUUUUUUGAAGGAGGAAAGAAGGGUUUGGAGAUGAGAACGAGGUAGAGAAUGAGUUUUGGAAAUGAGAAAAAGUGCAAAUAAUAAAUUAAUUAAUAAUAUAAAAGAGAGCGAUUUUCCUAAAUCUCAUAUGGCAACGCUGAAAAUAGUGUGGCCUGAUAUAAAUGAGAAUAAAUUUUUUUAAAACAUCUACAAGAACGGUUUAAAAACGUAUUAAAUAAAUAUAAAAAUUGAUAAAUAGGACAACACUAUUACAAACCGUGGCCAAAUAUACUUUAAGACCACGGUUUUAGAACCAUAGAGAAUGAAAGUGUUGCCGUAGAUCAAAACUGUAGUAGUGAUCAUUCAACCACGCUUGCUAGAACAACGCUGUUAAAAAUGAGGCAAAAGAUCAUUAACAAUGCUCAUUCAAGCAAGCGUUGUUGAUUAAUUUCAAAACAAGUUUGAGGAUAAUUACAUAAGAAUGUAUGUGAUUGACAAGUAUCAUUCAUGACAUAGAUCAAAUUAUACUUAAGGGUAUUCAUCCCCAUAUCUUGAGUGCAAACAUCAUAUAAAAUGUGUAUUUUAUUUGUCAUUAAUUGAAUGAAUAAAUAAUGGAUGAUGCAAUAACAAUGUAUAAGAUUCUUAUAUCGUUGAUGCAUACAUUUUUUUCUCUUAAUUUUAAUUGUUGUCUUAUAAAAUUUUAGAAUUUAUUUAUCUCAUCUAAACUUAAUGAAGGCUAAUUAAAAAAGAGUGUAAUAUAUACAUAUGCACUGUUAGUAUAAAUAUUUAUAUAUAGUUAGUGUAUUAUUCACCAGAUAUCACAAUCAACCACUGUCAUUCAACCGUGCUUGCUAGAACAACGCUGUUAAAAAGGAGGCGGAAGAUCAUCAACAACGCUCAUUCAAGCAAGCGUUGUUGAAUUAGUGUUGGCUUGAACGAGUUCUAUUAACAACGUACCUUUAAGACAACGCUAUUAGUUUACAUCUAUUUAACAACAUUGGAUUAAAGGAGCGUUGUUGAAUAUGACAUAGCAACAACACAUUCUUAUAUGAGCAUUGUUGCUUGGAUACAACGUUUAAAUAUUAGAAAAAUUAAUAGUGAAGUACUUUAUGCGUCUCUUCGUUUCUAUGCAUAUUCUUUUUUUGGUUGCAAAUCUUCCAAGGAUGGCGGUAACCAUUCUUUUUCCAUUUGAAUGUACAUAUGUUGUGGUUCACACUAAUGUUUCUAAGUCAUGUAAGAUAUUUGUUGUUUUCUUCUCAACUAAGCACGGUAAUGGUUUCAACUGUUUCUCUGUGUCUGUUAUAUUCAAUGAUUUUUAGUUGUAUUUGUCUAAUUAGUCAUUGUCUCCUUUAUAAUUAGUCAUGACACACAAAAAGAAGAAGAUAGGAAGAAGAAAAACAAAGAAAUCGAAAAGAGAACAAUUCAAGGCAUAAAGAAAGAGGAAAGUUUUGUUGAAGUUACAAAAAAUAGUAAAAAGGGUCACUACUCACAAAUGACAGCUUUUGCAUUCAAAAUUUGUUGAAGUUAAAGUGCACUCUUAGUAAGAAGUCGUUUUCCGUUUACAGCUUGGACACCAACGAAUGUGUUAGUUUUUUAGGUAAAAUAUCUAAUCAUAUGUUUUACUCUUCCUCAUGUUCUCUGUACACAUUAAAAUAAGAUUAUGUUAAUUUCUACGUUUUUUGUAGACCAUUAAAUCAAUUGUUGAAGGGAAGUCCGUAGGUGAUAUUCC
rnacentral:lncRNA from 1 species